ensembl:snRNA U1 U1 spliceosomal RNA
AUAUUUACCUGUUGGGGGAGACUGUGGCCAAGAAGGCGAGGUUCCCAGGAUAACACUCAUUCACUGCACUUGGGAUUUACUGAGCCUUCUAAUUUCUCCAAAUUUGGGAAACUCGACUGUAUAAUUUGUGGCAAUGUAGGAGUGUACUUUAACACACACAUGUA